rnacentral:tRNA from 1 species
GAAGUAAAGGUAAGGAGAGAGCUGCUAACUCUACUCCGAAGCGGUUUAAUUCCGUUUGUAUUUCU